rfam:Brachybacterium nesterenkovii strain CIP104813 genome assembly, contig: Scaffold14
GCGGUUCUGGUUCACGGCCCCCGCCGGGCGCCGACCCAGCGACU